rnacentral:tRNA from 1 species
GGAGAGGUGGCCGAGUGGCUGAAGGCACUCGCCUGCUAAGCGAGUAUGGGCUUCAACGCCCAUCGCGGGUUCGAAUCCCGCCCUCUCCG